UGGGGAAUCUUGGACAAUGGGGGCAACCCUGAUCCAGCCAUGCCGCGUGAGUGAAGAAGGCCCUAGGGUCGUAAAGCUCUUUCGCCAGGGAAGAUAAUGACGGUACCUGGUAAAGAAACCCCGGCUAACUCCGUGCCAGCAGCCGCGGUAAUACGGAGGGGGUUAGCGUUGUUCGGAAUUACUGGGCGUAAAGCGCGCGUAGGCGGACCAGAAAGUUGGGGGUGAAAUCCCGGGGCUCAACCCCGGAACUGCCUCCAAAACUGCUGGUCUUGAGUUCGAGAGAGGUGAGUGGAAUUCCGAGUGUAGGGGUGAAAUUCGUAGAUAUUCGGAGGAACACCAGUGGCGAAGGCGGCUCACUGGCUCGAUACUGACGCUGAGGUGCGAAAGUGUGGGGAGCAAACA
rnacentral:rRNA from 1 species